UACAGAGGGUGCAAGCGUUGUUCGGAAUCAUUGGGCGUAAAGCGCACGUAGGCGGCCUGCUAAGUCGGAUAUGAAAGCCCAGGGCUCAACCCUGGAAGUGCAUUCGAAACUGGCGAGCUUGAAUGUCGGAGAGGGCAGUGGAAUUCCGAGUGUAGAGGUGAAAUUCGUAGAUAUUCGGAGGAACACCAGUGGCGAAGGCGACUGCCUGGACGAACAUUGACGCUGAGGUGCGAAAGCGUGGGGAGCAAACAGG
rnacentral:rRNA from 1 species